rnacentral:rRNA from 1 species
GAUGAACGCUGGCGGCGUGCCUAAUACAUGCAAGUCGAGCGAACAGACGAGGAGCUUGCUCCUCUGACGUUAGCGGCGGACGGGUGAGUAACACGUGGAUGACCUACCUAUAAGACUGGGAUAACUUCGGGAAACCGGAGCUAAUACCGGAUAAUAUAUUGAACCGCAUGGUUCAAUAGUGAAAGACGGUUUUGCUGUCACUUAUAGAUGGAUCCGCGCCGCAUUAGCUAGUUGGUAAGGUAACGGCUUACCAAGGCAACGAUGCGUAGCCGACCUGAGAGGGUGAUCGGCCACACUGGAACUGAGACACGGUCCAGACUCCUACGGGAGGCAGCAGUAGGGAAUCUUCCGCAAUGGGCGAAAGCCUGACGGAGCAACGCCGCGUGAGUGAUGAAGGUCUUCGGAUCGUAAAACUCUGUUAUUAGGGAAGAACAAAUGUGUAAGUAACUAUGCACGUCUUGGCGGUACCUAAUCAGAAAGCCACGGCUAACUACGUG